rnacentral:rRNA from 1 species
UACAGAGGUCCCAAGCGUUGUUCGGAUUCAUUGGGCGUAAAGGGUGCGUAGGCGGCGCGGUAAGUCGGGUGUGAAAUCUUGGAGCUUAACUCCGAAACUGCAUUCGAUACUGCCGUGCUUGAGGACUGGAGAGGAGACUGGAGUUUACGGUGUAGCGGUGAAAUGCGUAGAUAUCAGGAGGAACACCGGUGGCGAAGGCGGAUCUCGUGGGCCUUACCUGACGCUGAGGCGCGAAAGCUAGGGGAGCGAACAGG